UUCUUGCAGUUUUACUCCACCACAGGAUCAGAGACGGUCCCCUGAAGAGAGGAGAAAGAGAGAGAAGACAUUCCUACUGAAUCUGUGUCUUCAAGCAGCUCUCCAUGAGAGAGGAACCAUACAAACAAUUGUAGAGAAAGUGUUGUCACUGUCUAAAGUAUAUCACAAUCAGAAUUGGGAUUUCCUGCUGGAUCUGAGCUCAUAUGUGGUGGACUAUGAGACUCAAACAGGCAGGAGUGUCCUUCCAGCAUUACAACCAGUUUACCAGUCAGCUCCUGCAGUCUGGUCCAUAGACCUCUCAGAGAGAAAGGCCUCCCUCCUCCUAGAAGUGCUGAAACUCCAACCAGAGAAGAAACCAGUAGAGCUGAAGGGCUGGUCAGAUGAAGAGAGUGAACUAAGGAGUUUCCUUCAGUGUCUGCCCUACAUCUCACAGCUGAGGUGAGUGAGUUUAUCCAACAAGAGUCCAUAUGUCAUUGAACUGGUGUAGAUUGUAUUUAUGUUUUACACUGUCUUUAUCUUUUUAAUACAUGCACAUAUGAAGAUGCUUUAGAAACUCUAAUUCAGUAGGAAUUUAAAUUGAACAAAAUUCUAAUUCAUAGUUGUAUUGUUUUAAUAGAUGGAGUCAUAAGGUGCUAUUAGUUUUCAGUUCCCCUACCCUGUUAUUCAUAUCAGCCCUCAUCACUCACCUGUAUGUCAUCUGUGUUUUAAACUGUUUGUUCAGAUUUCUUCCACUGAUGGACAAUAUAGAGAGGAGAAAGAGAGAGAAGACAUUCCUAUUGAAUCUGUUUCUUCAAACAAUUCUCCAUGCUAGAGGAUCCAUACAUACAAUUAUAGAUAAAGUGUUGUCACUGUCUGAAGUAUAUGACUAUGAGAAAUGGGAUUUCCUGCUGGAUCUGUACUCACAUGUGAAGGACUAUGAGACUCAAACAGGCAGGAGUGUCCUUCCAGCAUUACAGCCAGUUUACCAGUCAGCUCCUGCAGUCUGGUCCAUAGACCUCUCAGAGAGAAAGGCCUCCCUCCUCCUAGAAAUGCUUAAAAUCCAACCAGAGAAGAAACCAGUAGAGCUGAAGGGCUGGUCAGAUGAAGAGAGUGAAGUGAGGAGUUUCCUUCAGUGUCUGCCCUACAUCUCACAGCUGAGUUUCUAUCCAUGGUGGCCUGAUCCCUCAAAGCAGAUCAAGUUCCUGGUGGAUCUCCUGUGUCAGGCAGCAGAGUGGGAGGAGCAGACAGGAGAGAAGACACUGAAGCUGGUAUCAUCAGUGUGUACUUACAGCACUUUCCCCUUCUGUGAAGAUGUUGUUGAUGAUGGUGAUGUGAUUAAGGAAAAUCAGUGUCAUUUCCUGCUGGAUCUGUACUCACAUGUGAAGGACUAUGAGACUCAAACAGGCAGGAGUGUCCUUCCAGCAUUACAGCCAGUUUACCAGUCAGCUCCUGCAGUCUGGUCCAUCGACCUCUCAGAGAGAAAGGCCUCCCUCCUCCUAGAAGUGCUGAAACUCCAACCAGAGAAGAAACCAGUAGUCCUGAAGGGCUGGUUAGAUGAAGAGAGUGAAGUGAGGGGUUUCCUUAAGUGUCUGUCCUACAUCUCACAGCUGAGAUUUCUUCCACUGAAGGAUAAUAUAGAGAGGAGAAAGAGAAAGAAGACAUUCCUACUGAAUCUGUGUCUUCAAGCAGCUCUCCAUGAGAGAGGAACCAUACAAACAACUGUAGAGAAAGUGAUGUCACUGUCUAAAGUAUGUCACAAUCAGAAAUGUGAUUUCCUGCUGGAUCUGAGCUCACAUGUGAAGGACUAUGAGACUCAAACAGGCAGGAGUGUCCUUUCAGCAUUACAGCCAGUUUACCAGUCAGCCAGUCCUGCAGUGUGGUCCAUAGACCUCUCAAAGAGAAAGGCCUCCCUCUUCCUAGAAGUGCUGAAACUCCAACCAGAGAAGAGACCAGUAGAGCUGAAGGGCUGGUCAGAUGAAGAGAGUGAAGUGAGGAGUUUCCUUCAGUGUCUGCCCCACAUCUCACAGCUGAGUUUUUCUCCACCAUAUGAUCAGAGAAGAUCCCUUGAAGAGAGGAGAAAGAGAGAGAAGACAUUCCUACUGAAUCUGUGUCUUCAAGCAGCUCUUCAUGAGAGAGGAACCAUACAAACAACUGUAGAGAAAGUGCCACUGUCUGAAAUAUAUCACAAUCAGAAAUGUGAUUUCCUGCUGGAUCUGUACUCGUAUGUGAAGGACUAUGAGACUCAAACAGGCAGGAGUGUCCUUCCAGCAUUACAGCCAGUUUACCUGUCAGCCAGUCCUGCAGUCUGGUCCAUAGACCUCUCAGAGAGAAAGGCCUCCCUCCUCCUAGAAGUGCUGAAACUCAAACCAGAGAAGGAACCAGUAGAGGUGUGUGGCUGGUCAGGUGAAGAGAGUGAAGUGAGGAGUUUCCUUCAGUGUCUGCCCAACAUCUCACAGCUGAGUUUCUAUCCAUGGUGGCCUGUUCCCUCAAAGCAGAUCAAGUUCCUGGUGGAUCUCCUGUCUCAAGCAGCAGAGAGGGAGGAGCAGACAGGAGAGAAGACACUGAUGCUGGUGUCAUCAGUGUGUACUUACAGCGCUUUCCCCUUCUGUGACUGGCAUGAUGAGAAUAAGGAAGAUCAAUGUGAUUUCCUGCUGGAUCUGUUCUCACAUAUGAAGGAAUAUCAGACUCAAACAGACAGGAACGUCCUUCUAGCAUUACAGCCAGUUUACCAGUCGGCUCCUGCAGUCUGGUACAUAGACCUCUCAGCGAGAAAGGCCUCCCUCUUCCUAGAAGUGCUGAAACUCCAACCAGAGAAGAAACCAGUAGAGCUGAAGGGCUGGUCAGAUGAAGAGAGUGAAGUGAGGAGUUUCCUUCAGUGUCUGUCCUACAUCUCACAGCUGAGUUUCCCUCCAUGGUGGUCUGAUCCCUCAAAGCAGAUCAAGUUCCUGGUGGAUCUCCUGUCUCAAGCAGCAGAGUGGGAGGAGCAGACAGGAGAGAAGACACUGAAGCUGGUAUCAUCAGUGUGUACUUACAGCACCUUUCCUUUUCCCAAUGGAUACAUUUCUAAACAGAGUGAUUUCCUGCUAGAUCUGUACUCACAUGUGAAGGACUAUGAGACUCAAACAGGCAGGAGUUUCCUUCCAGCAUUACAGCCAGUUUAUCAGUCAGCUCCUGCAGUCUGGUCCAUAGGGCUCUCAGAGAGAAAGACCUCCCACCUCCUAGAAGUGCUGAAGCUCCAACCAGAGAAGAAACCAGUAGAGCUGAAGGGCUGGUCAGAUGAAGAGCGUGAAGUGAGGAGUUUCCUUCAGUGUCUGUCCUACAUCUCACAGCUGAGAUUUCCUCCACUGAAGGAUAAUGUAGAGAGGAUAAAGAGAGAGAAGACAUUCCUACUGAAUCUGUGUCUUCAAGCAGCUCUUCAUGAGAGAGGAACCAUACAAACAACUGUAGAGAAAGUGUUGUCACUGUCUGAAGUAUAUCACAAUCAGAAAUGGGAUUUCCUGCUGUAUCUGUACUCACAUGUGAAGGACUAUGAGACUCAAACAGGCAGGAGUGUCCUUCCAGCAUUACAGCCAGUUUACCAGUCAGCCAGUCCUGCAGUCUGGUCCAUAGACCUCUCAAAGAGAAAGGCCUCCCUCGUCCUAGAAGUGCUGAAACUCCAACCAGAGAAGAAACCAGUACAGCUGAUGGGCUGGUCAGAUGAAGAGAGUGAAGUGAGGAGUUUCCUUCAGUGUCUGCCCUAUAUCUCACAGCUGAGUGUUACUCCACCACAGGAACAGAGAAGAUCCCCUGAAGAGAGGAGAAAGAGAGAGAAGACAUUCCUACUGAAUCUGUGUCUUCAAGCAGCUCUCCAUGAGAGAGGAACCAUACAAACAACUGUAGAGAAGGUGUUGUCAUUGUCUGAAGUAUAUCACUAUCAGAAAUGUGAUUUCCUGCUGGAUCUGUACUCAUUUGUGAAGGACUAUGAGAUUCAAACAGGCAGGAGUGUCCUUCCAGCAUUACAGCCAGUUUACCAGUCAGCUCCUGCAGUCUGGUCCAUAGACCUCUCAGAGAGAAAGGCCUCCCUCCUCCUAGAAGUGCUGAAACUCCAACCAGAGAAGAAACCAGUAGAGCUGAAGGGCUGGUCAGAUGAAGAGAGUGAAGUGAGGAGUUUCCUUCAGUGUCUGUCCUACAUCUCACAGCUGAGUUUUACUCCUCCAUGGGAUCAGAGAAGAUGCCCUGAAGAGAGGACACAGAGAGAGAAGACAUUCCUACUGAAUCUGUGUCUUCAAGCAGCUCUCCAUGAGAGAGGAACCAUACAAACAACUGUAGAGAAAGUGUUGUCACUGUCUGAAGUAUAUCACAAUCAGAAAUGUGAUUUCCUGCUGGAUCUGUGCUCACAUGUGAAUGACUACGAGACUCAAACAGGCAGGAGUGUUCUUCCAGCAUUACAGCCAGUUUACCAGUCAGCCAGUCCUGCAGUCUGGUCCAUAGACCUCUCAGAGAGAAAGGCCUCCCUCUUCCGAGAAGUGCUGAAACUCCAACCAGAGAAGAAACCAGUAGAGCUGAAGGGCUGGUCAGAUGAAGAGAGUGAAGUGAGGAGUUUCCUUCAGUGUCUGCCCUACAUCUCACAGCUGAGUUUCUAUCCAGAUUGGUAUGAUCCCUCAAAGCAGAUCAAGUUCCUGGUGGAUCUCCUAUCUCAAGCAGCAGAGUGGGAGGAGCAGACAGGAGAUAAGACACUGAAGCUGGUAUCAUCAGUGUGUACUUACAGCACUUUCCCCUUCUGUGAUGAUGACGAUGAUGAUGAUGAUGAUGAUGAUGAGGAAUAUCAAAGUGAUUUCCUGCUGGAUCUCUACCCACAUGUGAAGGACUAUGAGUGUCAAACAGGCAGGAGUGUCCUUCCAGCAUUGCAGCCAGUUUACCAGUCAGCCAGUCCUGCCGUCUGGUCCAUAGACCUGUCAGAGAGAAAGGCCUCCCUCCUCCUAGAAGUGCUAAAACUCCAACCAGAGAAGAAACCAGUAAAGCUGAAGGGCUGGUAUGAUGAAGAGAGUGAAGUGAGGAGUUUCCUUCAGUGUCUGCCCUACAUCUCACAGCUGAGGCUGAAUGUGGGUAUGGCAGUGAAACUGUCCAGACUGGUUAGGAGGACAGAGAGAGGUGCUACUCCACUGACUGUCCCAGAACUCUCCCUGGUCCUAAAGAGCAGCCAGCCACCAGAGAGAGUGUUAUCCAGGGCUCUGAGUAGUGUGGCGUCCCUGCUGAGACUCUGGAGGGUUCAGUGUCUGGACCUGACUGACUUCUGGAUCCAGGGUCACUCUCUCAUCACACUGCUGUGUCACCAGGGACCUCUCUCUCUCAGGUCAGUCUGAAGCUGAUGUUUUUUAAAUAGAAAUAGUAACUUCAUUCACGUGUUUUUCUUCAUAUUUCUGACUGCCUGUAUGUUCCAACCUCCUAGACUGAACUCAGACACUCUGCAGCAGCUGACUGUAGUUGUGUAUGAAGCUCAGGACAAGGACUUGACUCAGUGGUUCCUGGAGAAGGUUGGUGGAGACCUGACCUCCUGCAGGCUGGACUGGGAAGUGCUUCUCUCUCUGCUGCAGCAUUCAACCUACAACAUCACUGUGGACCUCAGGAAGAACAGGCUUCUGGAGAAGAACAUCUCAGAUCUUCUCCCCUUUCUGGGAAGGGUUACUCUCAAGAGGUGGGAGAACUUCUUUCUCUAUUCAGACUUUCUAGAAAGAAGAAAAUAACUAUUUCUAUCCAGUGACAUGUUGUUCUGAGU
ensembl:lncRNA